rnacentral:rRNA from 1 species
GGGAGGCAGUGCCGUGAGGCUGAGCGAAUCCCAAAAAUAACGUCUCAGUUCGGAUUGUAGUCUGCAACCCGACUACAUGAAGCUGGAAUCGCUAGUAAUCGCGGAUCAGAAUGCCGCGGUGAAUACGUUCCCGGGUCUUGUACACACCGCCCGUCACACCAUGGGAGUUGGAAAUGCCCGAAGUCAGUGACCCAACCGGAAGGAGGGAGCUGCCGAAGGCAGGUUCGAUAACUGGGGUGAAGUCGUAACAAGGUAAC